rnacentral:piRNA from 1 species
UUAAAUGAUGAGGAGUCCUUCCAGA